rnacentral:rRNA from 1 species
AACGAACGCUGGCGGCGUGCUUAACACAUACAAGUCGAACGCGAAAGGGACUUCGGUCCUGAGUAAAGUGGCGCACGGGUGAGUAACGCGUAGAUAACCUGUCUUCACGUCUGGAAUAAUACGCCGAAAGGGGUACUAAUACCGGAUAUUCUUGCUUUUCAUAAGUUUUGCAAGGAAAGGUGGCCUCUGAAUAUGCUACUGCGCGAAGAGGGGUCUGCGCACCAUUAGCUAGUAGGUGGGGUAAUGGCCUACCUAGGCUACGAUGGUUAGCGGGUCUGAGAGGAAGAUCCGACACACUGGCACUGGACAGCGGGCCAGACUCCUACGGGAGGCAGCAGUGAGGAAUAUUGCGCAAUGGGGGAAACCCUGACGCAGCGACGCCGCGUGAGUGAGGAAGGCCUUCGGGUCGUAAAGCUCUGUCAAAGGGAAAGAAGUGCAUGAUGGCUAAUACCUGUCAUGUUUGACGGUACCCUUAAAGGAAGCACCGGCUAACUCCGUGCCAGCCGCCGCCGUAACAC